GAUCAUGUGAAUGUGCUCCACCUGUGCUAAACUGGUUGAACGUGCUUUCCCUGAACUUUGUUAAUAAAACAUCAUUUAUGCCCUUGAUCAUGUUUUUCCAGCAAAAGCCACUGGCAUAAAGCAUGCGUCUACACGGGUAAACAACAGCCUCUAUUCAUCCAAAGAGAAAUCCGUGAAGUUACAUGGCUCAGGAAGUAAAGCGCUGGAGCAAUCAGCAAAGAGGUUACAGCUACUCCGCGGAGCAUGAACAACGCUCAAGCGAAGUGAAGGGAAAGAACGACAGAGAUGGAUAAAGGAGGUCAAAAGCAAGAGAGAGACUUUUCCCCACACCUGGUCUCCCCAUUUGUCCCUCAGGAUACGGACAGAUAGUCAUUCAAGCAGAGAUAUAACAAACAAGCGAUAAACAAAUGCUGAAAAAUGGCACAUGCUAAAUCCAGCGUGUCUCGAGAGCUCAAGAGUUGAGGGCAUAUUAACUGACAAGUUACCGAGAAGUUCAAGCUGAAGUUUGCAGGGGUAAACUUGGAUUAGUUUAUCUGGAAGCUACGGAGUAAACACAUGCUUUGACGGAUAGCAUGAACUGGCUACUGCGGUGUUGAUUCUGUUCACAUGUUCGAUUCCAAUCAAAGCCUCUAUUUGUUCGGGCCAUUGUUAGCCGCUCUGUUACGGCUUUGAGGGCUUUGUUGAGUUUGUUGGUGUUGUUGAGUUGAGAGAACACUCUCUCAUGCAACCCACGGCCUCAUUGGCCUUCAUCACUGCUAACUGUUCACAGUGCUUUCUGAAG